UGAACCUCACUUGUGGGGGGAUUAGUGGCGAACGGGUGAGUAACACGUGAGUAACCUGCCCUUGACUCUGGGAUAAGCCUGGGAAACCGGGUCUAAUACUGGAUACGACCUUCUGGCGCAUGCCAUGUUGGUGGAAAGCUUUUGUGGUUUUGGAUGGACUCGCGGCCUAUCAGCUUGUUGGUGGGGUAAUGGCCUACCAAGGCGACGACGGGUAGCCGGCCUGAGAGGGUGACCGGCCACACUGGGACUGAGACACGGCCCAGACUCCUACGGGAGGCAGCAGUGGGGAAUAUUGCACAAUGGGCGCAAGCCUGAUGCAGCGACGCCGCGUGAGGGAUGAAGGCCUUCGGGUUGUAAACCUCUUUCAGUAGGGAAGAAGCCGGCCUUUGGGUUGGUGACGGUACCUGCAGAAGAAGCGCCGGCUAACUACGUGCCAGCAGCCGCGGUAAUACGUAGGGCGCAAGCGUUAUCCGGAAUUAUUGGGCGUAAAGAGCUCGUAGGCGGUUUGUCGCGUCUGCCGUGAAAGUCCGGGGCUUAACCCCGGAUCUGCGGUGGGUACGGGCAGACUAGAGUGCAGUAGGGGAGACUGGAAUUCCUGGUGUAGCGGUGAAAUGCGCAGAUAUCAGGAGGAACACCGAUGGCGAAGGCAGGUCUCUGGGCUGUAACUGACGCUGAGGAGCGAAAGCAUGGGGAGCGAACAGGAUUAGAUACCCUGGUAGUCCAUGCCGUAAACGUUGGGCACUAGGUGGUGGGGGACAUUCCACGUUUUCCGCG
rnacentral:rRNA from 1 species